rnacentral:rRNA from 1 species
GUCAUUACCGAAUUGUCAACACGAGUUGUUGCUGGUCCUCAAAUGGGGGCAUGUGCACGCUCUGUUUGCACAUCCACUCACACCUGUGCACCCUCUGUAGUUCUGCAGCUCUGGGGAGGGGCUCUGUGUCCCCCCUGCCGUAGUCCUACGUAUUUAUACACACACACUGUAAUGAAGUCUCAUGGGAUGUAUGUCGCGUUUAACGCAAUACAAUACAACUUUCAGCAACGGAUCUCUUGGCUCUCGCAUCGAUGAAGAACGCAGCGAAAUGCGAUAAGUAAUGUGAAUUGCAGAAUUCAGUGAAUCAUCGAAUCUUUGAACGCACCUUGCGCCCUUUGGCUAUUCCGAAGGGCAUGCCUGUUUGAGUAUCAUGAACACCUCAACUCUCAUGGCUUGCCAUGAUGAGCUUGGACCAUGGGGGUCUUGCUGGCCUGUGGGUCAGCUCCUCUCAAAUGAAUCAGCUUUCCAGUGUUUGGUGGCAUCGCAGGUGUGAUAACUAUCUACGCUUGUGAUUUUCUGCCAGGGUAACCUUCAGCGAUGGAGGUUCGCUGGGGCUCAUAAAUGUCUCUCCUCAGUGGGGACAGCUCUUUGAAUGUUUGAUCUCAAAUCAGGUAGGACUACCCGCUGAACUUAA